rnacentral:rRNA from 1 species
GACGAACGCUGGCGGCGUGCUUAACACAUGCAAGUCGAACGGUGAAGCGCUUUCCUUUUUGGUUGGUGUGGAUGAGUGGCGAACGGGUGAGUAACACGUGAGUAACCUGCCCCCUUCUUCUGGAUAACCGCAUGAAAGUGUGGCUAAUACGGGAUAUUCUGCGCCUGCUGCAUGGUGGGUGUGGGAAAGAUUGUGCCUUUGGGUGUUUUCGGUGGGGGAUGGGCUCGCGGCCUAUCAGCUUGUUGGUGGGGUGAUGGCCUACCAAGGCGGUGACGGGUAGCCGGCCUGAGAGGGUGGACGGUCACACUGGGACUGAGACACGGCCCAGACUCAUACGGGAGGCAGCAGUGGGGAAUAUUGCACAAUGGGCGCAAGCCUGAUGCAGCGACGCCGCGUGAGGGAGGGAGGCCUUCGGGUUGUGAACCUCUUUCGCCAGUGAAGCAGGCCUGCUCCUUGUGGGUGGGUUGACGGUAGCUGGAUAAGAAGCGCCGGCUAACUACGUG